UACAGAGGGUGCAAGCGUUGUUCGGAAUUAUUGGGCGUAAAGCGCGUGUAGGCGGCUUUGCAAGUCGGGUGUGAAAGCCCUCAGCUUAACUGAGGAAGUGCGCCCGAAACUGCAGAGCUUGAGUACCGGAGAGGAUGGUGGAAUUCCCCAAGUAGAGGUGAAAUUCGUAGAUAUGGGGAGGAACACCGGUGGCGAAGGCGACCAUCUGGACGGAUACUGACGCUGAGACGCGAAAGCGUGGGUAGCAAACGAGGA
rnacentral:rRNA from 1 species